GGGAUAUUACGAUUCAUUCAAGCAAAGAGGUGCCUCGAAAAGAGGCUUUAAGGUCAAUAUGAACAGGAUCAAACUUGCUCAGUUUUGGGAUUCUUUGAUUGACAAGUUGGAAGCUAAUGAACUGCCCUAUGAUUUUCACAAACGUGCAAAGUGGGUAAAUGCUUCUCAGUUCUACAAACUCGUCGUCGAGCCACUUGAUAUUGCAGAGUACUACAGGACUGGGAUGCAUCUUGUGAAAGGCCACUACAUGCAGCAUGGAAGGGAACGAAGAUACAAGAUUUUCGAUAAGUGGUGGAAAACUGAGAAUGACACUGAUAAUCCUACUGCAAGGAGCCGGUUUGCGAGUUCUACACAAGAUUCAUGCUUUUGGGCUCGCGUUGAGGAGGCAAGAGACAGUCUUAUUAAGGUGAGAGCUGAGGGUGAUGCAAGAAAGUUUCUCAAGAUGUUGGAAGAUGUCACAAAGUUUGAUCAAUAUGCUAAAAGAUUGAUAGAAAAUAAGGAGAUUUCGCAGGAUGUUUUGGCCAAAAACUCAAGCUACACUAAGUUUAUAGAGGAAUGGAAGGACUUGCAGUCUCAGUUACAGCUGCUCCAACCUCAGUUUCCUUGAAUUCUUAAAGGUAGAAAAUAGCUUGAGGAUUGUUGGUCUAGUUAGGGCAUCAAUCUCUAUAUAUAGCAAUAAAGAAGCUCAACUAAAACAUCUGUCAUUUUUCCUCAAGAAGAACAUAUAAUAUUAUAAUUAGAUGCUCUACUCCAAGAGAAAUUCUAGAGGAACUAGAACUUGUAUAUUUC
rnacentral:misc_RNA from 1 species